rnacentral:rRNA from 1 species
GCAGGGAAUCUUGGGCAAUGGGCGAAAGCCUGACCCAGCGACGCCGCGUGGAGGAAGAAGUCCUUCGGGGCGUAAACUCCUGGACUGGGGGACGAGGAAGGACGGUACCCCAGUAGAAAGGGACGGCUAACUACGUGCCAGCAGCCGCGGUAAAACGUAGGUCCCGAGCGUUGUUCGGAUUCACUGGGUGUAAAGGGCGCGUAGGUGGUUGUCUGUGUCUCAUGUGAAAACUCAGGGCUCAACUCUGAGAUUGCGUGGGAAACUAGGCAGCUAGAGGACGGUAGAGGGGAGUGGAAUUCCCGGUGUAGCGGUAAAAUGCGUAGAUAUCGGGAGGAACACCGGUGGCGAAGGCGGCUCUCUGGGCCGAUCCUGACGCUGAGGCGCGAAAGCUAGGGGAGCGAACCGGAUUAGAUACCCGAGUAGUCC